ACUCCUACGGGAGGCAGCAGUGGGGAAUCUUGGACAAUGGGGGCAACCCUGAUCCAGCCAUGCCGCGUGAGUGAUGAAGGCCUUAGGGUCGUAAAGCUCUUUCGCCAGGGAUGAUAAUGACAGUACCUGGUAAAGAAACCCCGGCUAACUCCGUGCCAGCAGCCGCGGUAAUACGGAGGGGUUAGCGUUGUUCGGAAUUACUGGGGCGUAAAGCGCGCGUAGGCGGACCAGAAAGUUGGGGGUGAAAUCCCCGGGGCUCAACCCCGGAACUGCCUCCAAAACUCCUGGUCUUGAGUUCGAGAGAGGUGAGUGGAAUUCCGAGUGUAGAGGUGAAAUUCGUAGAUAUUCGGAGGAACACCAGUGGCGAAGGCGGCUCACUGGCUCGAUACUGACGCUGAGGUGCGAAAGUGUGGGGAGCAAACAGGAUUAGAUACCCUGGUAGGAUAGCG
rnacentral:rRNA from 1 species